GGGCCAGACUCCUACGGGAGGCAGCAGUGGGGAAUAUUGCGCAAUGGGCGAAAGCCUGACGCAGCGACGCCGCGUGUGGGAAGACGGUCCUCUGGAUUGUAAACCACUGUCCCCAGGGACGAAGAUGACGGUACCUGGGGAGGAAGCUCCGGCUAACUACGUGCCAGCAGCCGCGGUAAUACGUAGGGGGCAAGCGUUAUCCGGAUUUACUGGGUGUAAAGGGAGCGUAGACGGCUGUGCAAGUCUGAAGUGAAAGCCCAGGGCUCAACCCUGGGACUGCUUUGGAAACUGUGGAGCUAGAGUGCUGGAGAGGUAAGUGGAAUUCCUAGUGUAGCGGUGAAAUGCGUAGAUAUUAGGAGGAACACCAGUGGCGAAGGCGGCGUACUGGACAGUAACUGACGUUGAGGCUCGAAAGCGUGGGGAGCAAACAGGAUUAGAUACCCUGGUACAA
rnacentral:rRNA from 1 species